rnacentral:rRNA from 1 species
UACGGAAGGCAGCAGUGGGGAAUAUUGCACAAUGGGCGAAAGCCUGAUGCAGCUAUGCCGCGUGUAUGAAGAAGGCCUUAGGGUUGUAAAGUACUUUCAUCGGGGAGGAAAAAACAAAACUAAUAAUUUUAUUUCUUGACGUUACCCGAAAAAGAAGCACCGGCUAACUCCGUGCCAGCAGCCGCGGUAAUACGGAGGGUGCUAGCGUUAAUCAGAAUUACUGGGCGUAAAGAGCACGUAGGUGGUUUUUUUAAAGUCAGAUGUGAAAUCCCUGGGCUUAACCUAGGAACUGCAUUUUGAAACUGAAAUACUAGAGUAUCGUAGAGGGAGGUAGAAUUCUAGGUGUAGCGGUGAAAUGCGUAGAUAUCUGGAGGAUACCUGUGGCGAAAGCGGCCUCCUAAACGAAUACUGACACUGAGGUGCGAAAGCGUGGGGAGCAAACAGGGAUUAGAUACC